GGCCCGGUAGCUCAGGGGUAGAGCGUCUGACUCUCACAACCAGAAGGACCGGGGUUCAAUUCCCCGGCCGGGUGA